rnacentral:rRNA from 1 species
AGACCCGAAACCCGGUGAUCUAGCCAUGGGCAGGUUGAAGGUUGGGUAACACUAACUGGAGGACCGAACCGACUAAUGUUGAAAAAUUAGCGGAUGACCUGUGGCUGGGGGUGAAAGGCCAAUCAAACCGGGAGAUAGCUGGUUCUCCCCGAAAGCUAUUUAGGUAGCGCCUCGUGAAUUCAUCUCCGGGGGUAGAGCACUGUUUCGGCUAGGGGGCCAUCCCGGCUUACCAACCCGAUGCAAACUGCGAAUACCGGAGAAUGUUAUCACGGGAGACACACGGCGGGUGCUAACGUCCGUCGUGAAGAGGGAAACAACCCAGACCGCCAGCUAAGGUCCCAAAGUCAUGGUUAAGUGGGAAACGAUGUGGGAAGGCCCAGACAGCCAGGAUGUUGGCUUAGAAGCAGCCAUCAUUUAAAGAAAGCGUAAUAGCUCACUGGUCGAGUCGGCCUGCGCGGAAGAUGUAACGGGGCUAAACCAUGCACCGAAGCUGCGGCAGCGACGUUUAUGCGUUGUUGGGUAGGGGAGCGUUCUGUAAGCCUGCGAAGGUGGCCUGUGAGGGUUGCUGGAGGUAUCAGAAGUGCGAAUGCUGACAUAAGUAACGAUAAAGCGGGUGAAAAG